rnacentral:tRNA from 1 species
CGGGGUGUAGCUCAGCUUGGAAGAGCGCCUGCUUUGGGAGCAGGAAGUCGCAGGUUCAAAUCCUGUCACCCCGAC